rnacentral:tRNA from 1 species
GCAGGAAUGGCGGAAUGGCAGACGCGCACGGUUCAGGUCCGUGUGAAGUAAAAUUCAUGUGGGUUCAAGUCCCAUUUCCUGCA